GAUGAACGCUAGCGGCAGGCUUAACACAUGCAAGUCGAGGGGUAUUGGUUUUCGGACCAAGAGACCGGCGCACGGGUGCGUAACGCGUAUGCAAUCUACCUUUUGCAGAGGGAUAGCCCAGAGAAAUUUGGAUUAAUACCUCAUAGUAUAGUACUUUGGCAUCAAGGAACUAUUAAAGUCACAACGGCAAAGAUGAGCAUGCGUCCCAUUAGCUAGUUGGUAAGGUAACGGCUUACCAAGGCUACGAUGGGUAGGGGUCCUGAGAGGGAGAUCCCCCACACUGGUACUGAGACACGGACCAGACUCCUACGGGAGGCAGCAGUGAGGAAUAUUGGACAAUGGGCGCAAGCCUGAUCCAGCCAUGCCGCGUGCAGGAUGACGGUCCUAUGGAUUGUAAACUGCUUUUUAUACAGGAAGAAACACUCCGACGUGUCGGAGCUUGACGGUACUGUAAGAAUAAGGAUCGGCUAAACUCCGUGCCAGCAGCCG
rnacentral:rRNA from 1 species